AACGUAAAUGCGUCGAAUUCUUGCGGUUAUUUCUGUGCAUAGCCAAUCGAAAUACUUGAUUGCGGUAUAAUAAGAGAUUGAGGGAAUAGUGGGGUCAGGAGGUUAGAUUAUGCGCGGCACUCACCCACAUUUACCCUCUCACCCUCACAACCCUCAUCCUCUUUCUCACUCUCAAUUUUUCUUUCUAUCUCUCUCUCUCUCUCUCUCAGUCACUCUUUCGUUAGCUCUUUAGGGAAUCCCUCAGAACACGCGAUGUCGUCGUUCAUGUGCAUAUAAUGAGCGUCUGUUUUCCGGGCAAAUGUACUCUCUUUGGAUUGUUACUUAUUCAAGCAUAUAAGUACUAAAAAGGAAUCCUCGUUGACAUGUAUAAUCCACGAGAGUGUGCAUUUAAAAAAUAUAAAUAAAACAAACUAGCAACAUUUAAACUCAGUGUCAUAAGUGUCAUGAAGAGUAAUAGGUGAAAAGUGUCUGCAAGAUUAACAAUUAUAAACAAAACAAAAAAAAAAAACGACAAAAGUACUAUGGAAAAUACUAUUUCAAUUGUAAGAAGUAGACUAGUUAAUUAAAAUAAUGGAUGUAAUUUAAGAAAUUAACAGCAAAUUUAAAACGUUUAAUUUUAAUCAACUAGUGUGAUAAUGAUUAUUUAUUAAUUAAAACGUGUAGACGUUCACGAGGUGUAGGCACGACCAACAAUAAUACGACUAAAACUCCUAAAAACAAAAACGAACUAUUUAUUUUAAGAAAAAGUCUUAAAGUAUUUUUAUAAAUACUUACAAGUGGAUAUGGAUUUUAAAAACAAUGUGAACAUCAAUCAACAAUGCCAAGUUUUAUUCAAGAAUGUUAGUGGAAAGAGGAUUGCAAAAUAAACUUACUGGAAGUUGGUGGUGCUUGGGGUGCACGACGUACAACUGUGUGCUCCUGAUGCGGCCCUGUAUACUCAUGCCAUGUAUAUGUGCUCCUGUACUCUGAGUGGAGCUGCUGAAAUACAAGAAAUAUAAAGAACAAAGUCAUUAUUUUUUUAUUUCAAAUUUACGUCUACGUUUUUUUUAUAAUUUACAUGCUGAGAAAUUUUCCAGCUGAAAAAUUAUUUUUACGAAUGACUUUUUACUCUUUAUUUUUAUUUUAUUUUUUUUUCUAAUGACAGUUGGUAACGUUAAUAAUUUUUUUAUCUUAAUGAUGUCAUUAAUAAUUAUUUUUGAGUUAAAAUUUUUAACUAGUAAAAAUUUGUUUAUUGAGAUGUAAUUAAUUAUUGGGGUGUGCGAAUCGAGUAGAAUGAUUUGAAUCUUCUCGUAUUAUUCAUAUUUAACUCCAACUUUGA